rnacentral:rRNA from 1 species
CCCAGAGAAAUUUGGAUUAAUACCUCAUAGUAUAAUUGAAUGGCAUCAUUUAAUUAUUAAAGUCACAACGGUAAAAGAUGAGCAUGCGUCCCAUUAGCUAGUUGGUAAGGUAACGGCUUACCAAGGCUACGAUGGGUAGGGGUCCUGAGAGGGAGAUCCCCCACACUGGUACUGAGACACGGACCAGACUCCUACGGGAGGCAGCAGUGAGGAAUAUUGGACAAUGGGCGCAAGCCUGAUCCAGCCAUGCCGCGUGCAGGAUGACGGUCCUAUGGAUUGUAAACUGCUUUUGUACAGGAAGAAACACUGGUUCGUGAACCAGCUUGACGGUACUGUAAGAAUAAGGAUCGGCUAACUCCGUGCCAGCAGCCGCGGUAAUACGGAGGAUCCAAGCGUUAUCCGGAAUCAUUGGGUUUAAAGGGUCCGUAGGCGGUUUGGUAAGUCAGUGGUGAAAGCCCAUCGCUCAACGGUGGAACGGCCAUUGAUACUGCUAGACUUGAAUUAUUAGGAAGUAACUAGAAUAUGUAGUGUAGCGGUGAAAUGCUUAGAGAUUACAUGGAAUACCAAUUGCGAAGGCAGGUUACUACUAAUAUAUUGACGCUGAUGGACGAAAGCGUGGGUAGCG